UUCAUACAGACUAGUUUUAUUCCUCUUGUACAGGUUCAAUAACAAUUCUUUGUGGGUACAAACAUUUCAGUUCAGCAUUGUAAAUACAGAUGUGCUGAUAGAAAAUGUUUAUUCCAAAAUAAUAGCGGGGAAAGUAACUCGCAAACACAGGAAGCAAGUGCUAUUUUUCAAAAGGGCCUGACUUUGCUACAGCAUCUGGAGGUACAUGGACAAAUUCACAAUCAUUCAACUCUCUAGUUCUGAAAGAAUCCAUUGGCUUCAAGAUAUGACACUACUUGAUCAGCCAUUGAUUUAGGUGAAGGGCAGUCCCCAACUUUGCACUGUAUCACAAUCUCACAAUCUGAAGGUGUUUCAUAAGGAUCAUCUAUUCCCGUAAAGCCUUUGAUUUUGCCGGCACGAGCAAGCUUGUACAGGCCUUUUGGAUCCCUUUCUUCACAUACUUCAAGUGGGACAUUCAGGAACACCUCAAUGAACGAAGAAUUGGGUAGUAAUUUGCGGCAGGCGCUUCGAUCACUCUUAUAGGGUGAUAUCAAACUAGUAAUGCAGAUCAAUCCAGCAUCUGCAAACAGCUUUGCCACUUCUCCUACAAAGCCAGACAUCAACAUUGCUGUAAUUUUUCACUGAAAACACCUACAGAAAAAUGAUCAUCCAAGGCGAGAUUUUGGAACCGAACAGACCAACUCUGCGUAUAUUUUCGGCACGAUCCUUGGCUUUGAAGCUGAGAUCUUUGUUCAGGCCGUGCCGGAGAUUGUCGCCGUCAAGAACAUAGGUCAGAUGCCCUCUUGAGUGCAGCUCACGGCUCAGUGCACAUGCAAGGGUGCUUUUUCCUGAACCACUUAGGCCAGUGAUCCAAACAACACAGCCCUUCUGGUUCAGCAACUUUUGUCUGUCAAGCUGGUUUACUGGGCAGUCAUGCCAUCGGAUGUUUGUUGAUUUACCGACAGUUGAGGUCAUGAGCUUGUUUAAAACUGGCAACACAUCGUCGUCGUCCUUCCCGUCGACCGGCGCCGCCGCCGGCACGGCCGCCUCCGACCGGCCAGCCUUCCUGUCCCAGCUGCUUCCGGCCGCCGCCGCCGUCACGACGCUCAUUGGCCUCGCCGCUGCGACGAGCCUCACG
rnacentral:sRNA from 1 species